CAUGAGUAUGAGUUUUCGUGUCCAACUUUGAUCGUCUGUUUUAUUUAAAAAAUUUUAUAAUUAGUAUUUUUAUUAUUAUGGGAUGAUAAAAUAUGAGUAGUAAUAUAUGCGUAACUUAUGUUUUUAAUUUUUCUAAAAAUUUUUUUUAAAUAAGACGGACUAUCAAAGUUGAGUAUAGAAAAUCAUAGCUGCACUUAAA
rfam:Oryza meridionalis cultivar OR44 (W2112) chromosome 6, whole genome shotgun sequence.